UACAGAGGGUGCGAGCGUUGUCCGGAAUCACUGGGCGUAAAGGGCGCGUAGGCGGCUUUUCAAGCGUGCGGUGAAAGCUCGGGGCUUAACUCCGAGUCUGCCGUGCGAACUGGGAGGCUUGAGUCUGGUAGAGGUCGAUGGAAUUCCGGGUGUAGCGGUGGAAUGCGUAGAGAUCCGGAAGAACACCGGUGGCGAAGGCGGUCGACUGGGCCAGAACUGACGCUGAGGCGCGACAGCGUGGGGAGCAAAC
rnacentral:rRNA from 1 species